GGAGCUGCGCGGCCAUGGACGUCGGCGCCGACGAGUUCGAGGAGAGCCUCCCUCUGCUGCAGGAGCUCGUCCAGGAGGCCGACUUCGUCUCGACAUAGAGUUCACGGGCCUUCGUUCUAACCUGUCUGGGCCUCAGCAGAUCAGUCUUUUUGAUUUGCCAUCGGAGUGGUAUCUAAAGACCCGUCAGAGUGUUCAGCAAUUUACAAUCUGUCAGAUUGGAUUGUCUGUGUUUUCCGCUAUUGAAGGAGAGGCAAACAAGUAUACAGCCCAUUCAUGUAACUUCUAUCUCUUCCCUACAACGUUUGGGAUUUUGGACUCAGAAUUCUCUUUCCAGGCUUCCAGUGUUCAGUUUUUGAAUCAGUAUGGCUUCAACUAUAACAAGUUUCUCAAAAAUGGAAUCCCAUAUAUGAAUGAAGAACAGGAGAAGAAAAUUAGACACGAUAUCCUGACUGGGAACUGGAGAGUUCGCAGAUAGAGACUUUAUCACCCCUGAAAGCUGAAUAAAGAAGACGGUCCUGAUAGCAAUGCUUGGUAUUGGCUAGAUACCAAUAGCUUUUCCUCCAUGCAUCCU
rnacentral:sRNA from 1 species